CGCCCUUAGAGUUUGAUCAUGGCUCAGAUUGAACGCUGGCGGCAGGCUUAACACAUGCAAGUCGAACGGUAGAAGAGCUUGCUCUUGACGAGUGGCGGACGGGUGAGUAAUGUAUGGGGAUCUGCCAAAUGGAAGGGGACAACAGUUGGAAACGACUGCUAAUACCGUAUAAAGUCGCGAGACCAAAGUGUUUCGACAUGCCAUUUGAUGAACCCAUAUGGGAUUAGCUAGUAGGUAGGGUAAAGGCCUACCUAGGCGACGAUCUCUAGCUGGUCUGAGAGGAUGACCAGCCACACUGGAACUGAGACACGGUCCAGACUCCUACGGGAGGCAGCAGUGGGGAA
rnacentral:rRNA from 1 species